UACUGCAUAUGUACACAUUGGUUGUUUACC
rnacentral:piRNA from 1 species